rnacentral:rRNA from 1 species
CCUACGGGAUGCUGCAGUGGGGAAUAUUGGACAAUGGGCGAAAGCCUGAUCCAGCCAUGCCGCGUGUGUGAAGAAGGCCUUCGGGUUGUAAAGCACUUUCAGUGGGGAAGAAAGCCUUGGGGCUAAUACCCUCGAGGAAGGACAUCACCCACAGAAGAAGCACCGGCUAACUCCGUGCCAGCAGCCGCGGUAAUACGGAGGGUGCGAGCGUUAAUCGGAAUUACUGGGCGUAAAGCGCGCGUAGGCGGUCUGAUAAGCCGGUUGUGAAAGCCCCGGGCUCAACCUGGGAACGGCAUCCGGAACUGUCAGGCUAGAGUGCAGGAGAGGAAGGUAGAAUUCCCGGUGUAGCGGUGAAAUGCGUAGAGAUCGGGAGGAAUACCAGUGGCGAAGGCGGCCUUCUGGACUGACACUGACGCUGAGGUGCGAAAGCGUGGGUAGCAAACAGGAUUAGCUACCCUGGUAGUC